rnacentral:tRNA from 1 species
GGAGAGAUGGCAGAGUUUGGAUUAACGCGGUGGUCUUGAAAACCAAUGAAGGAGAAAUUCUUCCGGGGGUUCGAAUCCCUCUCUCUCCG